UUAUAGCUAAGCUACUGUACUUUCAAAAAUAUGAAGGUUUCUGUACUUCUAAAUAAUUUUUGAUGAUAUUUUAUUCGACUCGGCAAUCGGCUCUGUUAAAUAUGAUUGAUAAUGUUUAUUAUUAUCUAGAAACUAACUUUUUUUAUUUUUUUUGAUUUUGCUUGCCUAAUAAAUAAAUAUUCUCAAAAUGAACAACUGAAAAUAAAAAAUUUAUAAAAAAUAGUAAUAAAAGACUUAAAUUUUUAAAUCGAAAAUAUUGAUCUUACUCUUGAUAACAAAUAAUAAUUCGGAUUGUUUAUAUUGUCGAACUUACAAACGUACCACCUCGGCUAUUAAAAUAGGUUUUUUUGAGAAAAAGGGCUAUUAAAAUAGUUAUUUUUGAGAACUUGGCAAACAAUGUAAAAAAAUUAUAAAAUUUAGCUUUUAAAUAGUUUUAAUAGCAUAGUCGAAUCGGACGUUUUAUUAUUGAAAAUAAUUUGAAAGCAUGGAGGCCUCCGUAUGUUUGAAACCAUUUAUCUUGUCACUUAUGUUGUUCCGAU
rnacentral:lncRNA from 1 species